UACGGGGGGAGCAAGCGUUGUUCGGAUUUACUUGGCGUAACGGGCGCGUAGGCGGCCACCGCAAGUCAGUUGUGAAAGCUCUGGGCUUAACCCAGAAAGGUCAACUGAUACUGCGGGGCUAGAGUGCAGAAGGGGCAACUGGAAUUCUCGGUGUAGCGGUGAAAUGCGUAGAUAUCGAGAGGAACACCUGCGGCGAAGGCGGGUUGCUGGGCUGACACUGACGCUGAAGUGCGAAAGCUAGGGGAGCGAACGGG
rnacentral:rRNA from 1 species